rnacentral:rRNA from 1 species
AUGACUACCGAAUCGCAUGACGAAACCCGGCCUCGGAGAUUCGACGCUACCAUGUCAAGGAGGACAAUAAGAAGACCGGCUGCUGCAAGGUCGGUCGCUGCUGAUUGCGACCGAGAUGCUCAUCAGCUGAAGCCACCGUCUGAGCACAAGACAUCGCUGCAGCUAGACGGAGACGAUGAAGAGACGGCGUGUUACCUCCAGGAGCCGCAGGAGGAGGAUGAGGAUAACUCGCGUAUUUUCUCACUAAAGGAGCUGAUAGAUGAGACCAUCAACGGCGACGACAGGGACCCCGGCGCUGCCACCGGAAGCCAAGGAGAGAUCAGCGUCGCCACAGCCGCCCUCCAUGGUCAUGGAGUCGCAGCAUCAGCUGCUGAUGCAAGGAAACAGCUGCCUGGACAUGUGGUGGGAAGGAGGGUGGUCCGACUGGUCCGCCGGUACGUCAGAGUCAAGGCCAAGCACGCGCCGGAGAAGAAGGGCGUGCCUUUACGCAUGGAUGGUUGGUGCAGAGACACGGCGACCGACCGGCCGGAAGUUUAG